GGUUCCGUGGCUUAAUGGUUACGGCUUCUGCCUCACAAGCUAAAGGUUCAGGGAUCAAAUCCCGGUCGGUACCU
rnacentral:tRNA from 1 species